AUGAAGGACGUUACUAACGACGAUAUGCUUUGGGGAGCUGUAAGUAAGCUUUGAUCCAGAGAUUUCCGAAUGGGGAAACCCAGCAUGAGUUAUGUCAUGUUAUCGAUAUGUGAAUACAUAGCAUAUCAGAAGGCACACCCGGAGAACUGAAACAUCUUAGUACCCGGAGGAAGAGAAAGAAAAUUCGAUUCCCUUAGUAGCGGCGAGCGAAACGGGAAGAGCCCAAACCAACAAGCUUGCUUGUUGGGGUUGUAGGACACUCUAUACGGAGUUACAAAGGACGACAUUAGACGAAUCAUCUGGAAAGAUGAAUCAAAGAAGGUAAUAAUCCUGUAGUCGAAAAUGUUGUCUCUCUUGAGUGGAUCCUGAGUACGACGGAGCACGUGAAAUUCCGUCGGAAUCUGGGAGGACCAUCUCCUAAGGCUAAAUACUCUCUAGUGACCGAUAGUGAACCAGUACCGUGAGGGAAAGGUGAAAAGCACCCCGGAAGGGGAGUGAAAUAGAACCUGAAACCGUGUGCUUACAAGUAGUCAGAGCCCGUUAAUGGGUGAUGGCGUGCCUUUUGUAGAAUGAACCGGCGAGUUACGAUUUGAUGCAAGGUUAAGCAGUAAAUGUGGAGCCGUAGCGAAAGCGAGUCUGAAUAGGGCGUUUAGUAUUUGGUCGUAGACCCGAAACCAGGUGAUCUACCCUUGGUCAGGUUGAAGUUCAGGUAACACUGAAUGGAGGACCGAACCGACUUACGUUGAAAAGUGAGCGGAUGAACUGAGGGUAGCGGAGAAAUUCCAAUCGAACCUGGAGAUAGCUGGUUCUCUCCGAAAUAGCUUUAGGGCUAGCCUCAAGUGAUGAUUAUUGGAGGUAGAGCACUGUUUGGACGAGGGGCCCCUCUCGGGUUACCGAAUUCAGACAAACUCCGAAUGCCAAUUAAUUUAACUUGGGAGUCAGAACAUGGGUGAUAAGGUCCGUGUUCGAAAGGGAAACAGCCCAGACCACCAGCUAAGGUCCCAAAAUAUAUGUUAAGUGGAAAAGGAUGUGGCGUUGCCCAGACAACUAGGAUGUUGGCUUAGAAGCAGCCAUCAUUUAAAGAGUGCGUAAUAGCUCACUAGUCGAGUGACACUGCGCCGAAAAUGUACCGGGGCUAAACAUAUUACCGAAGCUGUGGAUUGUCCUUUGGACAAUGGUAGGAGAGCGUUCUAAGGGCGUUGAAGCAUGAUCGUAAGGACAUGUGGAGCGCUUAGAAGUGAGAAUGCCGGUGUGAGUAGCGAAAGACGGGUGAGAAUCCCGUCCACCGAUUGACUAAGGUUUCCAGAGGAAGGCUCGUCCGCUCUGGGUUAGUCGGGUCCUAAGCUGAGGCCGACAGGCGUAGGCGAUGGAUAACAGGUUGAUAUUCCUGUACCACCUAUAAUCGUUUUAAUCGAUGGGGGGACGCAGUAGGAUAGGCGAAGCGUGCGAUUGGAUUGCACGUCUAAGCAGUAAGGCUGAGUAUUAGGCAAAUCCGGUACUCAUUAAGGCUGAGCUGUGAUGGGGAGAAGACAUAGAGUCUUCGAGUCGUUGAUUUCACACUGCCGAGAAAAGCCUCUAGAUAGAAAAUAGGUGCCCGUACCGCAAACCGACACAGGUAGUCAAGAUGAGAAUUCUAAGGUGAGCGAGCGAACUCUCGUUAAGGAACUCGGCAAAAUGACCCCGUAACUUCGGGAGAAGGGGUGCUCUUUAGGGUUAACGCCCAGAAGAGCCGCAGUGAAUAGGCCCAAGCGACUGUUUAUCAAAAACACAGGUCUCUGCUAAACCGUAAGGUGAUGUAUAGGGGCUGACGCCUGCCCGGUGCUGGAAGGUUAAGAGGAGUGGUUAGCUUCUGCGAAGCUACGAAUCGAAGCCCCAGUAAACGGCGGCCGUAACUAUAACGGUCCUAAGGUAGCGAAAUUCCUUGUCGGGUAAGUUCCGACCCGCACGAAAGGCGUAACGAUUUGGGCACUGUCUCAACGAGAGACUCGGUGAAAUCAUAGUACCUGUGAAGAUGCAGGUUACCCGCGACAGGACGGAAAGACCCCGUGGAGCUUUACUGUAGCCUGAUAUUGAAAUUCGGCACAGCUUGUACAGGAUAGGUAGGAGCCUUUGAAACGUGAGCGCUAGCUUACGUGGAGGCGCUGGUGGGAUACUACCCUAGCUGUGUUGGCUUUCUAACCCGCACCACUUAUCGUGGUGGGAGACAGUGUCA
rnacentral:rRNA from 1 species